UCGGAACCGGCCAGUGGCCGGUUUUGGUGAUCGACUGGUAUUUAAAUUUUUUUCAAAAAAAUAUACAUAAAUUUCAAAAAAUAAGGGAAUUUUUUUUGUAAUGUAUUUUUUAAUAUUGUUUACAUUAUGGUAAAGAUUAAAAAUUUCUUUCGUCUUUAAUGCUCACUUUAAUUUCAAAAAUUGAUUUUUUUAAAAUUGAUUUUUUCAUUAAUUUUCAAUUUCAUUUGGAUGUGUUUUGUUUUAAUUAUUCUUUAUAUACUUUUAAUAUUUUAGUAGAUUCUUUUUUUGUAUCUUUUUUAUUUUUGCAACACUUUUUUGACCGGUAAGGACUUGUCCAGUUAGAACGGUUGAAUCGGCCGGUUUACUUGUUAGGCCAGAUAAACCGCUUCCGGGCUUAUGUCCGGUUAACCGUUCCGAUUCGAUUUUGGGAAAAAUGGUUUAAACAGACUAUUUAUAUCAUUAUUUGCACCGAUAGCCUUGCACAGAUUACCAUAUGCUUUUUAUUGACUUUUGUUUUGAAUUGGAGCUGUGUUAGGGUCUUUUUGUUUGUUAGGUAGAGUUACCAUGUACUGUGUUUGUAGAAUGGUCAGUUUAUGAUGGGAUUCCCAUCGUGAGUCUUCAACAGCAUCAUCAUAAGCCUCAGUUAUUCUAGCUAUCUUGUCCUCAUGCCUUUCAUUGCCCACUGUUUUACAGGAGGCCUCUGGCUAAGCUUAGCUGACACUGUCCACUCUCUUAAUGGUUAAUAGUGUCCUCUUUUUUGUCUCUAUGCCCCGAAAGCACUGUAUUCAUGGAUUCACUUUAUAACUGUAGGCAUGUACCUUCAGGUACAUAUAUGUAUUCGACUGUAGCCAUGUAAUCGUAGGCACUUACGUUUUAGCUGCACGAGUAUUUUACUGAGUUUAACUACACUUCUAGAACUGUAGUUUUAUACUUCGCUUUUUAUCUAGCCAUGUUUCGAAAUGCUUCUAACACUCGGCAAGUCUGACUCGGAUUCGCGGCCUACCAAGUCCAAAAGCAAGACCAUGGGAACUGGUCAAUUCCUGCUGCUCUCUUAUGUAAUUGUAAAUUAUUUUCUAGGUCUGGUUUGAGUCUCUCUAACUAAUUUGGCCAGUUGAGUUGCGGGCGAGUCGCUUUGCUGAGCCGAAAACAUGGCUUAUAUGUAUGAAUUUCUAGGUGUAGAUCUACAUAUAGUUUCUUUCCCCCAAAACCUUGUACCUGUAGAUGGUCAUACAUGCAUUUUGAUGUAUAUCUCACGGUUAAGGCAAUAUAACCAUCUGUGCUUUUACUUAUUUCCCUUGAGAAUUAUCCAUCCUUGUACUUUUUCUGGCUUUAGAUUCAGCCGAGUUGGAUCGCUGACUUAGGCUUUGGGCCCUAGCGAUUUGAGCCUGAGUCAUUGUUUUCAAACAUUGGGUCUGCAUAUGAAAUUGGAAUCCUGUGAUAAGCAGUCCCGGCUCACUAGUGAGAAAUUCAUUUCCUCCAUUUGGACUGGAGUUUUGAAACGCAGUGAUCUAGAAUCGGGAGCCAUUGUUCUGGAUAGGAUAUGGAUGGGCCAUCUAUGUAUGCAAUUUUUUCUUUCUGGUUAUUUUUAAAUCUAAUAUUCACCAAUUCUGCCGAUACCGAUUACGAGCUGAUCUGGAUUGAUACAGUGAGUGGGUGAUCCAAAAUCCAAUUCUGGGUUUUAAAACGUGAUCUUAACCAUCAUCCAUGGGAAUAUACAAGAAAUAGUUUUGAAUCUAAUGCUUAUUGACGGUCGAGUGCUGAUGAAUUUAUGGUCAGUUCUCAACAUUAUUCAUAAGCUACAAUAAUCGUGGCUUCCCUGUCUUCGUGGUCUGUCUAUUACUACUAAGAGUGGAUAUGUGACAUUGGAGCAUACACUUGCAUGAUGUCUUUUUGUAUCUUUUCGUAGCUGGAAUUGUUUGGGUUGCACAUGUUUUGUUUUGGUUUGGGAUCUAUUUUCUGCAAAAUUUUACCAAAGAUAAUACUUGUUUUAAUCCAAUUUUUUUGUUUCUCUCUUCCACUUUAGAUUCCAAUCUCUCUCCUAUUCUCCUUCAGCAUCAAUAGUUUCAAGUAUUCUCUGUUUUUAUGCCCUCUCUGGGCCUAGCUUCCCCUCUCUCGCAUUUUGUAUUUUUCUAGCCCCAUCUUGCCUUUCUGCUCUCUGGCGUCAGCAGUUCCAAUCAUUCUCUCUUUUAUUUCCUUCAUCUUCUCCCUCUCUGGCCCUAUCUUGCCUCUGUGUGUCACAUUUUUCUCUCUCUAGCCCUAGCUUCCCUCUUUCUCUCACUAGUUCCCCCUCUCUCUAGUCUUAGCCUCCAUCACUCGUGGUUUCUUAUUCCAUGGGGUGAUGAAUCUCUACUUCCUCCUCUCUCUCAUGAUUUCUCAUUCGUUGGAUUAAUGAUUUUAAAAAAUGGAUUAGUAACUUGGAUUGGGCACUUCAAUAACCAUUGGAUCGGUAAAUUGGUGGUUUAGAUAGUUAUUUUAAUGAGUGGAAAAAAUUGUGGCUUGGCAAAAAACAUGUAAAAAAAUAUUCGAUCGGCAAAAAACUGUCUUGAUUGGUGAAUCGACAGUGUGGAUAUUUGUUUUACUGUAAAGAAUUGCAGUUUUUUUUGUUUUGUAGAAUUGUUGGUUCUUUUCUAUAUUCAACCGUUUUUUUAUAUAUACGUAAAAUUAGAACGGGAUGACCGAUUAUCGGGUCGGACUGGACGAUUUCGUAUCAACUUGUUAUUUUUUAAGUCAUUGGUUUGGUUGUAUGGACUCCAACUACCACAUCUCUCUCUUGUCUUGGGUUGGUACAGUCAGAGUUUGAAUCUCAUAUUAGAAAACAUUGUUUGUACCAAAAAACGUCGGGUAAGUACGGAAUUGUUCGGUCUGACUUGAGAAUCGGUCAUUUAUUCUAGUUUUGUGUAUAUAUAGGAAAAUGGUCGAGUCUAGAAGGGAAUUAAUAGUUCUGCAUAACAAAAUAGUGAUUCAACUCUUGAUUCAUUAAUGGUUUUUGGCUGCUACACUAUUUUUUCAUGUAUUUUUUUAUUAGUUACAGUUUUUUUGCCUAGUAAAACAGCUAUCUGGAUCGUUGAAUCACCAAUUUGAAUUGGUUUUUGGUUUGUACACUAUUUUUUUUAUGUAUAUUUUCACCAUUUCAUUGUUUUCCUCUCGCGAAAUGGCUCUAUGGACCGUUGAAUCAUCAAUUUGAACUGGUUUUUAUAGUACCUGAUCCAUUUUUUAAGUAAUUGAUCUAACCCACCGAUUUGGACUAGUGCCCUGGCUAACCGAUCCAUUUUUUAAAUCACUAAUCCCUUCUUUUCUUAGUGAAGCUAGAGUUAGGGUUUGAAUCUUAUGUAUGAAGCUAACCGAUCCAUUUUUUAAAUCACUAAUUCCUUCUUUUUCUAGUGAAGUUAGAGUCGGGGUUUAAAUCUUUUGUCUGAAUUGAGUAUUUUUCAAGAUUGGUUUCAGCUGGUGUGGAAUCUCAGCAUUACCCUAUACCCCAUAUUAAAUGUUCCCCAAGUAGUAACUCCAUUUGUGUUGUUAAUCACUGGGUUUUCUAAACCUCUAAGAUAUGUGAGCCAGGCUGUCCACCAUAGAGUUUGUCGGGUAGUUGUACAGUGACUCUCUCUCUUUCUCUCUCUUCUGAGUGUGCGAUUCCUCUCUCGAAGCUACCAAACGCUGCUGCGAGUUUUGGAACCGCAUGUCCACGUUACCCUUCGUCUUGCGACCGUUUUCCUCUCCUCUCUCUCUCUCUCUCUUCGCUGGCGAUAAAUUCGAGUCUGGAGACUACCCAGAUUCCUAGGAAAAUAGUUUGAGAAAGCAAUUUUUUCGUUGAAAAUUGCGUAAUGCUAGCCACGUAUAUUUGUCGACAUUUGGAAGAGAAAAUUACUGUAAUCCCGUCUUGGAAUUUAUCUAUGGGAGUCGCCCAUUUUUUAAUUUAAGAGACGAGAAUGAUUAAUAUAAGGAGAAAGAGUAUAGAAUGGGAUCAGUUGAUACAACGUGGUUACAUUAAUCUUGAUCAUUGGUUGUGGUUACAUUAAUCUUGAUCAUUGGUUGUGACAUUGGGUGGCCGUAAUUAUUCUAUUGAUCAAGUUUGAACCUUAAAAGAAGUUUUUUUGAAUUAUGUGAUACAUCCAAAUUAUCAAAUUUUUUGUUGUAUACAAUCCCUGUAAGGGAUAGUAUAACGAGACCAUCUAGGUUUGAUAAAUAAUGAAUAUAGAUAAAAUCUGAACUAUCAUAUUUUCAUAGGGUGGUUUAAAAUAUAUAUUUAAUCUGAAUUUUAGUCUUUGUUUAAAAAAUUGGAUUUUUAAUCAAUUUUGGGCAUAUUGGUACUUCUCAACUUGCUAACUAACUUACGGCAGAUUCAAGUCCGGUCUUUAAUUUGGUCAUGUCAUGUUGUUCAUGUUCUCUCUGUAGAUGGUAUUGUCCAUGUUCCUUCUCUCUCUAGAGAGACUACCGAUUCUUUGAUGUUAGAGAUAUGUUGGGCACUCUUUUAAGUGGGGUUGUUUCAUCUAGAUAUUAGGGCUGCCACCGAGCUGGCCUGGGCUCGGUGAAAGUACCAAACUGCUUUGGUCUGGUCCAAAAACCCCACUAGAAAGCCCAUACCGACCGGACCAAGUAUGCCGUAUUAAAACCCGGACUGGCCUGAAAGAAUCUACUGGGCUGGAAUUGGGUCCAGCUGAUUAAGAAGGCUCUUUUUCUUAUUUUUAGUCUUUUCAGACUUUUUUUUUGGUUGUAAGCCAAAAAAACAUAUGCUAAAAUAUCUUUUACUAAAAAAAAAGAAAUGUUAAUAUCUUUUAGAAAAUUUAAUAUUUUAAUAUAAUUUGUGGUAUAUAUAAUAAAAAGAGAUGUUUGUUUUGAAAUUGGUUUGUGGAGGGAAUGGGUUUUUAGAGAGAGAGAUUGGGUUUUUAGAUAGGGAGCAUUGGUUUUGGGUUUUUAGAGAGAAAAUGAGAGAUAGGAUUUCUAGAGUGAAAAUGGAUUUCAAAUUUUUUUAAAAGUAUUUUUACAUCUUUUUAUUUUUAUUUUUAGUUUUUUUUAAUUACUACAAAGAAGAAGAUUUAUUUAUUUUUUAAAAAAUGUGCUUCAAGGCUGGGGUUUUGUUUGGGAUGGGUCUUUAUCUGGCUAGGCCAGAAUAUUUUGGACUUGCAGGCUAGUCUGGCCUGAUGGCAAGUUUUCAGGCUUUUCCUGGUCAUUUCGGGAUGUUCGGUCUGACCAAUAAUGCUGCAUUUAUGUGGCCCAGCUCGACAUGCAACUGACCAGGUUUAAGCCUGAGAGCCGCCAAGAAUCGUGCCCCGGAUCGGAAGCCCAAGGCCCGUCCUUGACCAUUGGCAGCCCUGCUAGAUGUGGACCUCUCUCUUUCUGUCCGAGUCCACAUCCGGUGGUUCCUUUCUCAUUUGCGGUGGGGUUGCUCUCUGUCUGUAUGUUCUCUCUAGAUUUGAUGCAAGAUGGGGUUUCUCUUAGUGAUUUUGGAGUUGUCCGCUAUUUUGGGGUUGUUUUGUCCGUUCACUGUAGAUUUGAAAGUGAGAGGGCUUCGUUUCUUCUGUUCAGUGUUGAUUUGAAAGUGACAGGGCUUCGGUUUUUCUGUUCACUGUUGAUUUGAAAGUGAGAGGGCUUCUCACAUGGUCCCCAGGGGAUCAUUGUGAUUUAAACCCAUUGUCUUUUUGUUGCCAUAUUUGGCUUAUCCAGGCCUGGUCUAUUUACUCAUUUUGUUGUCAUGUCUAAAUGCGGAAAUCAUGGGGACCUGCAUCCUUAGUCUUUAUUUUUCUUGUUCGAUUGAUUUUACAGCUCUUGCUCCCCUGACCACUCUCACCACUUUUUUAUUACUCUCAGCAGCCACUAUAUCCUUGCAAUGAGAGAGAGAGUCAGAUUUAUGCGAGGGUAAAAAGAGAGAGAGGGAGGGAGGGAGGGAGGGAGAGAGCGAUAUCAAGAUUCACAUCUCUUAAACUCUUCUACAUGUAGGAUCUUAAAGAAUCACCAUUAAAUUUGUCACAAAUCUUUAGAAAAGUCAGGUCUCAUGUUUAUGUGAUAAUUUUUUUAGAUAUCUAUAUCAAAUUAAAUUGUGAUCUAUUAGGGUCCUACAUAUAUAGGUACGGGAGGGUUUCACAGGAUCAUUACGGUGAUCUUUUGGGGAUUUACAUAUAUGGGUGUGGGAGGGUCUCACAAGGUCAUUUACCAUAUAGAGUAAUGAUCCUAUGAGACCCUUCCACACCUAUGUGUAGGAUCUCAAAGGAUCGUCAUUAAAUUUGACACAGGUCUUUAGAAAAGGCGUAGGACUUGACUUUUCUAAAUGUGAGUAAUGAUUUUAUGAGACCCUCCCACACCCAUGUGUAUAGGAUCUCAAAUGAUCUCUAUUAAAUUUGGUACAAAUCUUUAGAAAAGUUAUCACAUGGGUGUGGGACUUGAUUUUUCUAGAGAUCUAUGUUAAAUUUAUUGGUCAUCUUUUGGGGUCUUAUAUGUAUGGGUGUGGGAGGCUUUUACAAGGUCAUUUCCCAAUUUCUGUGUAUUACUUUUACCCCAAUUUUUAUAGGUUGGGCCAUUCAAAUAAGGGAUUUGAUCGAUCUGGAUCGGUAUAGUGGGUGGGCGAUUUAAAGCCCAAUUUCAAGAUUUAAAACAUAAUGUAGAACAUAUAAUGUAGUAUUGAUUUUAUGCAAUGGUUGUAUAAUAAUACGAUGCAACAACUUUCAAAUACUAUAUUAUAGCCAUUUGUUUGAUCCAAAUCUUGAAAGAGGGCAUUGAUUUCUUAGCUUUCUCUCUCUCUAACAUUCUUGCUGUGCAACCCUCUUCGUAAGCUCUUGCUUUCUCUUUUAUUCUGGGUGAUAUUUAUCUAAGGCAUCAACUUUCAACGAUCAAAGUAAGGUGCAUGUCAAAACUAUAUUGAAAGUUGCAGUUUUGGUGCUAGAAAGCCUUGCGAUAACACAAACAUCUAUGGAAAAGUUUUACAAAGAGGCUAGUUACUUUUAAUACAAAGAGGUUACAACCAUUCUCGUCCAUCAAAUUGCAAAUCAAAUAGUUGUAAGUGUACUUGUGACUAAACUCAAAGUCCAACAAAAUUUUUUUUGAACUUCGUGACAUAUGCCAAGCCAUCCAAUUGGACAUAUAAUGGUUAUGAUUAAUUGUGACGUCUUUUGUAUGAAAGAUAAAUAGUCUCAUAGUAUACAAUCCCAAAAUCUAUUGACAGCCAAAUUAUAAAAUUUAAAGCGUUAAAGAUAGCGUAGAUCAAGUAGAUCUAUAAAUA
rnacentral:lncRNA from 1 species